rnacentral:lncRNA from 13 species
CAUCUUGAAACAGGGACCUUGCUUGUCUGGAAGAGCUGUGUCCCAGCACUGAGAAUGGAUAGUACAGGUGUGAUUGGGUGAAGACAGGUCUAGAGCCCUUCUCGCCCCAACCAAGGCCGCUGCCUGGUGCCUGAUGACCCCAUGUACCAGAGCACCAGGAGAUGACCCCAGAGCCUAGCAUCCCACCUUCCCUGAGGCCCCCCAGGCCUAUGGAAACAAGGCCCGGAAACUGCACAGCAAGGCAGGCCACCCCCACCCGUACCAGCAGCACCUGCUGGGUAAUGAGGGCCCAGGCUGUUACAGACACAGGGAGCUUCCUUCCUGAAGAACAUCUUUUUGUCCUUGAGCGGGUGGUGAUAGAUAGAGAAACCAGCUCAGAGAAGGGAGGUAAGUUGCCCAGGGUCACUGGGAGAAUUAAUAUCAUAAUUGAGAAUAACAACUAGGCCUCCUAUUUACUAGAUAAAAUAGCACCAGGAGAUGUGCUGAGAGAGGGAGGAAAAUAGAAUUUGGAAUUAUUUUUUUAUUUCUCUGUAAAUGUAGUUGGUGCUGGGUUUUUUCUCCUCUCUCCUGGAGAUGCUGUAACCACUACUGUC